rnacentral:lncRNA from 1 species
CGGUGGACAAAGAAUUUUUUCGUGGAUAGAAUAUUGUGUUCACUACUGCUCUUAGAUAUGAAGUACUUGAUGUUAAAGUUUUGAAGAAAAAAUUUAAAAUUUUUCUUUCCUUCAAAGAUCCUUAAAAAUUUUGUUUUGAGUUUAGUCUUACAUUGGAAAGGGACAAAAUUUUCGAUGCAUUUAUAAACCAUCUUUUCUUAGCCAUC